ensembl:snRNA U6 U6 spliceosomal RNA
GUGCUCACUUAAGCAGCACACAUAAAAAACUGGAUCAAUUUAGAAAAAGUUAGCACAGCCUCUUCACAACGAUGACAUGCACAUACAUGAAGCAUUUCAUGUUUUA